GACGAACGCUGGCGGCGUGCUUAACACAUGCAAGUCGAACGGAAAGGCCCCUUUGGGGGUACUCGAGUGGCGAACGGGUGAGUAACACGUGAGUAACCUGCCCUUGACUUCGGGAUAACUUCAGGAAACUGGGGCUAAUACCGGAUAGGAAUCCUUGCUGCAUGGUGGGGGUUGGAAAGCUUCGGCGGUUUUGGAUGGACUCGCGGCUUAUCAGCUUGUUGGUGGGGUAGUGGCUUACCAAGGCUUUGACGGGUAGCCGGCCUGAGAGGGCGACCGGCCACAUUGGGACUGAGAUACGGCCCAGACUCCUACGGGAGGCAGAAGUGGGGAAUAUUGCACAAUGGUCGGAAGCCUGAUGCAGCAACGCCGCGUGCGGGAUGACGGCCUUCGGGUUGUAAACCGCUUUCAGCAGGGGCGAAGCUUGUGGUGACGGUACCUGCAGAAGAAGCACCGGCUAACUACGUG
rnacentral:rRNA from 1 species